AGCAGGCGCCAGGCUCUGAGCCAUCAGCCCAGAGCCCAAUGCGGGGCUCGAAUUCACGGACCAUAAGAUCAUGACCUGAGCUGAAGUUGGACACUCAACCAACUGAGCCACCCACGCGCCCCUGGCAUCUCGGUUUAAUACACGUUUCUCUACCUGCCAAUCCUUUGUGCUCUUGGCAGAGAAGCUGCCUUCCUGCUUCAAACACAUGCUCCUUGGGCUCUCCUGGGCCCGCAGUUAGGCAGCCAGGCCUUGCCUCCCACCCAGCAGCUCAGCUGCCCUCCGCUCCUGCCUCUGCAUCCUCAACAUCUAUGUCUGUCCUUAAUCCUUCUCCUGUGUCCCCAGCAUGGCCCUGCAUUGCCCUGAUCAGUGAAGAAAGACUGCCUGGCUGUUGGGUCCCCACGGAGAGGAGGCUGACAGAAAUCCUUGCCCAUACACUUGCUUGGGGCUUGGUCGGCAUUCUGGGCUCCAAGGCUUUGCGCUGCUCCUUAUCCCUUUCCCUUUUUGAGAUGACCAGGGUGUUGGCCUCUGUCAACACGUGGCUCCAGAGAGACCUGAUUCCGUGCCUUUUACAUUAGCUACCCUUCCAGGCUCUGGACCACUGCUCGCUCUCUAACGGUCACGGCAAACGUGACCUGUCCACCCUGCCCAAGGACCUCUCUCUCUUAGGAGAUGUCCCUCAGCUUGAGGAGGGUGCACAUGCUGAAACGGGGGAAGGGAGCACCCCUUGGCCAGCCCGUAGAGCCAGGUUUAUCAUGACCAGGGGUGAGCAGGGGAUGGGACAGCCGGAUGGCCCGCCCACCUGGGAGCUACCACAUGUGGAAGUGCUUUGGGAAAGCUGCACAGAUGGGAGUGAUUAUCUGUGUCUGGGUUCUCAUGUGUGGGCUGAGCUGACCCAGGCUGCCCUACGUCAGGAGAGAUGGGGGUACUUGAAUGUCUGGGUGAUGGUUGGUACCAAGGCCUUGUGUCCACAAUGGCAGAAUCUCAGAUAGGCCUGGGUCGAGCUUGACUCUGGAUCUGAGAGAGAUUAGGUUAGGAAGCCCCAGGCCUGAAGGCAUGGACAUGGGAGAUGAGCCACCAUAACGGGGACCCAGCUACCAGAUGGUGUGGCCCAGGGCUCGGGCCAGGUAGGAUUUGUGCACAAGUGACAGCCAGAGCAGCCACCGGUUAACACCGUGACUGCCAGAGGUUGGGGCUGAGUCUGUCAGCUGGAGGACAAGCGGAAGCAAGAAGGGCGGGCGCAGCCUUCAGCCCUAGCACAGGGUCGGAAGCCCCAAGACGCUGGGCCCACUGCUCUGAGAUAAAUCAGGCAAAGAGCGCUGGACUGGCUUCCUGACAUCGGGGGACCUGUUGUCUGUCCAGUCACUUCUGCACAGACAGGCUGGCUGGCUAGCUCACAUAACUGCUGCUGUGGGCAGGAGGCCGCCAGGAUUCUCAGGUGUUUGGGGGGGGGGGGGCGAUGACGGGAUGAGACAAGGGCAUUGGUUGUUUCAUUUUGCCCUUGUGGGUUGUGAUGUAAUGCUGCAGAAGCAGGAGUGCAAAUCCUGAGAGGCUCAGGCUGCAUGUUGUUGGGUGGGUCACUCGCAUCUCUGAGCCUUGAUGUCUGUUAGAUAAAGGGAGUGCAAUUAGAGGAGCCACCUCAUAGGUGUGUUAUGAGAUUUAUUUAUUUAUUUUUUAAAGUUUAUUUAUUUAUUUUGAGAGAGAGAGAGAGAGAGAGAGAGAGAAUCCCAAGCAGGCUCAGCACAGAGCCCAACGCAGGGCUUGAACCCAUGAAAACGUGAGAUCGUGCCCCGAACCAAGGUCAAGAGUUGGAUGCUUAACCGACUGAGCCACCCAGGUGCCCCCUGUUAUGAGAUUUAAAGAGACACACAUGGUGCCUGGUACACAGAAAGCACCCCGUAGAUGGCAGAUGGCACGAGUGUAAUCCAGAGCAAAACCCUGCAGGAAGACUCCAGCAGUGGGGACCUCCUUGCCUCCUGUAUCCACAGAGACUGUUGAGAAACUCAGCAAACCCAGGAAGGGCAGGAAGAGCCGCAUCUGGGCACAGCCAGGUGUCACGUUUAGUGACCCAGCAGGGCCUGGAAGGUUUGCAUAUGCUUUGUGGGGUAGAGCAGGAGUGGGCAGGGGGAGGGACUGAGGAGCAGACACCAUCUAAUGGCUAAUGGGACAGAAUCCACCCAGCUGGCAAAAUACAGUCUCUGGAGGGGAGGGGAAUUAACAGCAGCUGAAGUACAGUGUAGACACCUUUUUGGAUAUAGAUCCAGGCUGAGACCCCUCCUUCUCUGGGAACCUGAGAACCGCCCCCCCCCCCAACUGCCCCCACAGCAUUGAACUCCGGCGGCAGUGUUCGUUCCAGCCAGAGCUGAUCGGAUUGAGGUGGACACCCGGCCCCAGCGGGCUGGGAGUCUGCACUGGAAGGGAGGGUGCUCGUCAGUCUCUGCUGGCACCGAGACCAGCAGGACAUGUGAGCUCAGGAAUUCCGUGCUGGGAAAAGCAGAUGGACGCACAAUGAGAAACAGAGAGACCUGCGCGCAAGGGAAAGGGAAAAGAAGGGGGGGUGGGGGAGGCUGGGAGAGCUGCUGCCUUGCCUCUUGAAGGCUUUCCAGGCCAUUUCUGGUUCCUGGCCCUCGUGAGGCCCAGCUGCGUCCCUGCUCAUGGACUCUGGGAGAUACCUCGUGUCCUUAUGUAACCAGCUUAUUAAAUGAGCUGGACUCAGUCAGGUGUAAGAAGAAACCAACUUAAUUUUUUCCCCCGUGUCCUUUCCAACUUACCCUGUGGACUAGCUCUUUUCCCGGUCGACGCUGGAGACUUAGCAAGCCCCUUCGUCCCCUUCGUCUUUCUGGCGUUCGGCAUGAAGAAGCCGAGUCUGCUUUAACCAUCCGGUCACUGCACACAGUGUGGUGCGGUAACCAGAGGUCUGGACUCCCUAACGCCUGGACCAGAGGCCUGGAGGCCUGGGGUGGGGGAGGGCCCACGGUCAGCACUGUCACUGGCCCCCACAACCCUCCUGCCUCCCGCUUGCCCACUGAGAUUUGUGAGCCUCGGGGUUGGAACAGGGGAGAGGGGAAAAGUGAGGGGUCAGGGCCCAUCUUACGUGGCCAGUUCAGUCGUGAUUCAGAGCUUGCACCAGAAGCCCAAGCACCCACACUCUUUACCCCCCAUUGCUGCUGCUGCUGCUGCUGCUGCUGCUGCUGCUGCUGCUGCUGCUGCUGCAGAAUUUCCCUUCUGGGCACUUCUGUCUCAGUUGCCGUGACCUGUGAUACAUCUUUUCCACCUCAACACUUAUGGCUCCUUCCUUGGCUCCUGGGCCUCCUGCACUGUCUCCCCCCACCCCACCCCCCUGGCUGCCCUCUGGUUCCUAGGAAACCAUAUCCUUGCCUCCCCCGCAGCCCCUGAUGGGCUUGCCAUUUGCUCCAGUGUGGUCUCAUUUCUCUCUGCCGCAGGUCUGGAGACUUGAGGCACGAGUCUGGUACUAGUGCUUGUGCCAAACCUCUGGAAUGGUCCCUCGAAGGCCCUCUCGCUUGAUUUAGGGUCGGGGGAACACCCACCCUCCGUGUGGUGGUGGUGGCCAGGGAGCAUAUCACAAGGACAACUCAUUCCCCCCACCCCAGGGUAUUUUUCCUGCACCUCUCACACAGGCUGCAGAAGGACAAUCUGCUAAUGUUGUAGAAUCCUUUUGGAGUCACCCCCUAUAGUGAUGGUCCUACACCUUGCUCUAGGAUGUGGGACAUUUGGAAGCUAUUAUUUUGCCCUUAGCCUCUGGAGUCUCAGAUAAAACUAAGGCCGAAAGAGUGCCUUUUUAACAUUUUGUUACCUUGAAACGUGCCCUUUCUGUUUAAUCCAGUUGCCUGGCUUUGUCAUACUAUAGCCUAGAGUCUUUGCAAGCCUGCAUAUAACAGAUGAGGUGGUCUCAGAUCAGAGAGGACCCCCUUGAGCUCCCAAGGACCAUCUGUAAAUUGUGAGCAUCCUAGACUCCCAAUACUGUUGUUUUCGGUAGUCCAAAGGCUUCUCUUUCAGUCUUGCUCAAAUUGGCAAGAUUUUGCAAGAUUUAGGGGAGGGGAUCCUGCUCAGUGUCACUUGCUUGAAGAACAUCACUGUCUUCCUGCCGUGUUCCCACAUAAGCCCGCAGGUCGGUGCCCCCCAGCGACCAAGGUAUUGGUGCAAACUGGAGUGUGGGGGCUUGGCUGGGAUCGGAGAAAGUCUGGGUCUGCAGGUACCCUCACCAUGGAGACCUCAGUGACAGUAGGGCUCCUAUGCCUGCAGGCCUUAAAAGGCCACUGGCUGGGAUGGGAGAGGAAGGACAGGUGCUGGUCUGAGUUGGGCAGACCUCAGGGACCUGGCUGUGUUUGCUGGCCGGUGGAGCCACACACCAGGCGCUAUGGCACCAUGCACUUGAGCACAGCUCUUCUGCACCCUCCCCCCCCCCCCGACCCCCAUUCUCUUCUUCAAUGCUGUCGGCCAAACCCCCGUUUUACACCAAGGAGAGCCAGUUCCACAUGUCUGAUGGGUUUGUUCCUACCUCUCCUUCCAUAUAGCCAGGGUGUGGUUUGACUCAGGUUUGGGUUUGGGGUGGGGGUUGGGAGAAAUAGCUGGUGUCUCGGCCUGCUUUUGUCUGGGUCACAGCUAGUCUAGGAAAAGGGUUAUUCCGUGUUGUCCAGCAUGGCUUUCCAGAACUCUUCGCUUUGGGGUUUGGACCCACGACCAGUGACCAGUAAGGCUGGAUGGACCCUGUUUUCCUUAACCAUCAAUCCUUCCAUCCUGGACACACCAGUCCAGGUGUGUGGGGAGGCCUGGGCCAAGGUUGAGGUAUUCUCACCAAACACACCAAAUCGGGUACAACAACUGAUGACCUCGGCAGCCUACUAGAGGUUUGGGAGAAGGGAGCUGAGAACUCUUAGUUAGUGCCUGACAUCCAGCACCUUCCGGAUUAACUGCUGCUAGGGCAUUUUUACCAGCUGUCUGACUGUGAGCCUCAUUUCCUCCUCUCCUGUGAGGUGAGAACAAUCCCUUCACCUGGGUGCUGUGAGCAUUACAUAAGAAAACAGAAGUCCAAUUCCAAGCACGUAGUAGGGUGUAGUAAAUAUCUGUCUCUACCCAACUACAUCUUUGCUAGAAGCAGCUCUCGUGUGGCAGUAUUGCUAAGUCAUUGGGAAGAGGGAUUGCUGGGUCCAAAGGUAUAAGCAUUUUAAAAAUUUUGAUGCAUGUGUAUAUCCAUGUUUGAUAUACACGUUGCUAAGUUGCCCUUGAAACAUGUUGAAUCAAUUUAUACUUCCCUCCAUAGUACAGAAAGUACGUAUUUCUCCAUUCCCUUGUCAACAUGGAGAUUUUUUUCAUCUUUACAAAUCUGAUAGGCACCUUGUGAUGGUUUGUGCUUGAUUUAGUAUCCCUCCCUCUCUGGUUAUUACUGAGGUUGGCACCUUUUCUUCCUUAUUGGCCAUUUGUGUUCUAAUGCGUUCGUGUGCCUAACGAAGUUUUCUGUCAUGGUGUCUGUAUUUUUCUUCUUGAUUUAAGAGAGUUCUUGAGAUAGCAUGAAUAUUGAUCCUUUAUUUUUCUUAUUUGAUACUUGCCUUCAGCCUUGGUCAUCUGUUAUUUUUCAGAGGGCAGAAAAUUUGGGGUUUUCUUUAGUCGUAUCCCUUAAUCUUUUCCUUUUUGGCUUUGGGGUUUCCUGCCAUGCCUAGAGAUGACUUCCCAGUCCACAGUUGUGUUUUUCUGGCAGCUAAUGUGAAAGUCAGAUUGGAAUGAGGGAGGGAGGCAGAGGGCUCCCGGUCCGGUGGGAAGCCUGUUGUAGUAGUUGAGGAGAGAGGAGACACGAAGGCAGAGAAAAGGGCUUUCGUGGAUGGAUGGAUUGGCGUUGGUGUGGUAAGGGGAGAAAUUCUUGUUUUUGACCUGAGUAAUCGAUAAAUGGUGUUUCAGGGGUUGGUUGCACUGUCUAGGAGGUGCUUCUGGGAUGUUCAGUGAAGAUAUCCAGCACAUGGCUGUAAGGAAGUGAAGCCCCAGAGAGCCUUCAUGGCCUGGGUUUCUGUCUUGGGCCUCCUGAUGGUGUACGUGGAAACCAAAGAUAGGGAGAGUGUGAUUUAAAAGAUUUUGGUGUAUGUCCUUGGUGCUGAAUCUGUAUCUAGUCUUACUCAAAGAGACUCUGAUAGAAGAGGCCCCAGGAAGGCAUUCCAAAACAGUAACACACAGUGUAGAUACGUCCAAAUAGCACUGAUGGCUUUUAUUGCAGGUUUGUGUCAUUACAAGGAUAAUCUGGGAAUAUAUUAAAAAAAACCCUCCCUUUUAUAUACACAAAACAUGCUACAUGGUACACUUUGUGGGAAUGCUGAGGUAAUAGGCACACACCCAGACGUGGACAGUACCAAACGUUCCAACAUCUCACACACCCCCAUUCACACGCCCACCGGGGACGGUCUCACCUUCCUGACUCCUCUCUCGCUCCCUGCUUGGCAAGAGUCCCGGUAGUACUGAGUCUGACACUUCGCGGCCAACAGGACUCAGAAAGCCACCAUGCUGCGAUGCACCAGCCAAGGGGUCCGGUGGCUCCUGGUUAUUCAGGAGCUCGCGAGAAGCGGCCAGUUGUCACUUUUGUGGCACCUGGACUCCAGAGAAGUGUAGUUUGGGGACGAGAUGCGGACUCUAGUCAGCCUGAGAGCACGGGACCUUUGGUCUGUAGCCAUUCGGGGGCCCCGAUGAUCGGGGGAUGACUUCUCUUCACUUGAGUAUCUCCUGGGCAAGGUAGGUUAUUAUUUCUGUGACGGUUAAAAUGACGUGUAGGCUAAAGUGUGAACGGAACAUACAAAACUGCGAGUACAUCAUCUACGUGGCCGGGAGUUAGCUUUGGGGCCUGGCCUUCCCUUUCCUGACCAGAAACCUGGAGCCCAAGCUGUCUCCUACUCAGAGGCUUGCCUGGAAAGAAAGGAUGAUAUGACAGAAAAGGUAAGGAGUGGGUAUGAAGGGUAGAGAAGAGCAGAGAAGGUGCCUGGAACCUCAGUGAGUGGCCAGCGACUGGUACAGAAGGUACUUCCUGAAUGGUGUUGGAUGAACAAGUGGAUGGAUAGAUGGUUGGAUGGAUGGAUGGAUGGAUGGAGAAAAAGUCCUGAGAUUGGGGGAAAGUAUAGAAAUGGAGAGGGAAGGGGAUGUUGAAAGUUGAUCAGGUGUCCAAAGGGUUCUUUAGCGAGGAAGCAGGGAACCCCUAGGUGAGUGAAUAGCAUGUAGACACUCCUGGAAAAAUUCAGGCACGUGGACACCAAGGGUUAUUCUUUGAAUUAGAGCUACAUAGUCUGUGAUCUGCUCUCAGAUUCGAGUAACACCAUGUGAAUGCAGUGCUUUUCGCCGAAGAGCAAAGCUGUUGGUAACAACUUCAACAUCUGAGAAUUGAAUGUCUGUGCAUUUAGGUAUAUAACCAAACCUAUAUACGUGUCUAGAUAUAGUACACGUGGUAUAUAUCUAAAUGCAUAUAUAUGUGGUAUACACACAUGUGCAUAAGCUCAGCUCAUGCGUAUGUAUAUUAUGAAGGUAUUUUGCAGUUGGGUUUUCAUUGUAGGGAUUUAAUGUAUUUAAAGAAGGACUUGUCUGUAGUUCUGUCCUGUGUGGAAACAUGAGGGUCUGUCUGAUGUGAAGAAAAGCAAUAGGGACAGAGAAUACUGUAUUGAUUCCAUUCCAUCAUCUGCCGCAGCGAUCGGGUAAACAGAAUCCGGCAGCCCCAUCCUCCCGGCCCCAAGGUGAACUGGCGGGGAGUUGUUCCUGGUGCCGGGGCCAGCAUGGCCGGGUCAGGCUCCUGGCAAUGGCCGUGAGAGGUCAGGAGGGAGCUGGCUUAGUGGAAGGUGUUGGGGUUGGGCCGGAUCAUCAUCACCACUUUCUUGAGCGAGUAGGACCCUCCUCGGAACUCAGCCCAGUAGACUCCAUCCUGGUAGCGGCUCCGGUAAUGGCCCCCACGGUACCAGACCCCGUUGAGGUUGGAGUGGGCACAGGCAUUAUACCACCAGCCUCCCUUCUGGUAGUGGGCACAGUUUCCUGCAGGAGACAAGGGAGGAGGUCACAGGGAGAAGGCAGUUGUAUCCAAGGCUGCCAUUUGUUUAGGGCCUUUAGCAGGGCCCUCUGGGAAGGUGGGGGAGAGGGCAUUUGGAGCAGGAAUGCUUGAGGGGUGGGCCAGGUCUCAGAUUUGCUCCAACCUUUGAGGCUCGGCCUUGUGACCAGCGAACUCACCGAGCCACCGAAUUGUCCUUGUGAAAUGAGGGUAAGCGUGGUGCCUCCCGCACAGGACUGUGUGGUGAUCGAAGGAGGGCGCAUAGUUAAGCAGUUAGCCUGGGGCUUGUGCAGAGGCAGCGCCCCAGGGAGGUUUGAAUAGGAAGCAGAAAUGACCUGGGGUGGGCGGGGGAGCGGCCAAAGUGUUCUGAGGAAUUUUUUAAGAGUUGCAACUGUUGGAUCAAGAUUUUUAUAGAAUGACAAAGGAAGUGUUUAAGAUGAAAUGCUCCUCUGUUCCUCCCAGCCUGUAUUCCAGCCAAGUAUUUUUUUAUGAUUUCACAAAAGAAAGAUAUUUUCAUAAAACUUCUGGCACUAUCAUAUCAUGCUGGAUUUUGCUGCCAAGGACAAGCAGUUCGGAACAACAGUGAAAGUGUGGGCAAGGUGCAAGCAGGCGUGCAGGGGCAUCGGCCUUCUCAGGGAGGAAGUGGAAGAGGAGCUGCCAGCUGCUUGGGCUGCUCUUAGUUAAAAGAGAGGGUCCCCGGUUUCCUGAGCAGGCCUGAGAAGUGGACCCCCACUCAGAGGAAGGGCUGCCUCGGUCAGGUUUGUGGGCUGGCGCCCAAUGGGGCCGGUGACCCUGCUCCCGCUGAGGCCUUGGGAUGUGGGAAGGAGGCUGCAGGCUGGCCGAGGCAGAAAGCUCAGGGGAGAAUGGGCUCAGGCACCCGCAGCCCCUGCAGCCCAGCCCAGAGUUUUCCUUGGGCUCUUUUAGGCCGUCACUCGAGGCUAGGGACCAAAUGGCAGUGCUUGCGUUUGGAGAGCAGAGAGAGCCCUUGGCAUGCCAUGGCCAGCCUCCCGUGUGAGUGGAGGCCCCUCCUGAGCUUGACCUGCAUGCCUCCAGGGACAAGGAGCUCACUUCCUUGCCAGCCACUGACGGUGCUGUUGCACAGGCCUGACGGUUUGGGUCAUAGAACAGUCUUCUCCCUCCUAUCCACGAUGGCCCUCGAGAUGCUGUAGCAGUCCCAAUGUCCCCAGAAUCUGACUAGCUCCAAGGGUCCUCUUCCUGCCCUGCUUUUCUAGAAGCCUCUGUAACCCUGCCUAAGAAGGCAUACUGUCUCGUCAGGGGCCCCUUCAGUGCCAGCCAGCAGGUGGAGGUAACUGCAUGUCCCCCAGUGUUGUGAGAACAGCCUGCUGGAGUGUGGCUGCCAUGGGGACCUAGAGUGAGGACCUCCCUCCUCAAUAUGUAGGUACAGAGCUUGCCUGAAAAAUGCAGACCAGGGGGCAGGGCCUGCAGACCAGGGGGCCUGCAGACCAGGGGGCAGGGAGGGGGCCAGAUUUGCCCAAUGAGAACAGACAUCCUUGGCUUGGAGGUAGGGUUGGUCCCUCAGACAGGAGCAGUGCCUUAUUGGCUUUGCCAAGCAGCUGGGGUGCAGAGGCCCUCAUCUCAGGAAACUGGGUGUGGGGCCUGGAGAGGCUUAACUGUGGGAGGUUGGCAUCUGGACUCAGGGCUGGAUUGUAUGUAUGUGUGUCUCUUAGAAUAUUCUGGUUUUUUUUUCCCCCUUGUUUUUUAUUUAAUAAAGGCUUCCUAGUAAAGACCUGGCUUUGAGGCAUAUGACCCUGGACAAAUCACUUCAUGUCUUCUACCUGGUUUCCUCUUUAGAUCCCUUACUACACUGUGUUAAUAACACACGCUAAUAAUAGUAACCACAAAGACCGCCCACUUGGAUUGAGCCCUCUUUGCCACAUCUGAGACAAAGCACUUGAGGUACAUCCUCUAACCUUCUCACCACCCUGCAAGGCAGGCAUUGUCCUUAUUUCCCGACGUGGAAUCGAGGCCCAGAGAGAUUAGUAAGCAGCAUGCCCAAAGACACAUGACUCGUAGGAGGCAGGGCCAGCAUUAUUACCCAGGUGUGUGGCCCAGAGUCCGUGGAGAGUGUGGCCUGAACACCUGGUGCCUCGGGCAGAGAGGUGAUGUGAAGGCUUGGCCCUGAGUGGCCCACAAAUGUGUAAUUUGUACACCUCUUUGCCGUUCCCUUUUUGUUAAUGCCCCUCUGACCCACCUUUGUGAAGGGGGUCUGUGGGCAGUGGGCAGAGGAGUGGGUUUUCAGGGAGUAGCAACAGGGUCGGCCUUCUGGGCUCUGGGACCUUCCUCUUCUCAGGCUGUGACUCAGAAGCUUUGGCUUUGACCGACCUCUUUGCCCUGGCCUGCACCUGGGUUUGACUGUAUGGGUCCUACCUGUGUAGACGUCAUGGUCUCUGUCCAGGGUGGUGAACUGCUUGCCGUUAUGCCAAGUAAAGGAGUCACCAGCAUUGCCAUGGUAGCGCCCCAGCCUCAGCUUAUAAUACUCGCUCUCGGGCUCCAGGCGGAAGCUGGCAUAUUCUGCAAAGACUUUGCGGCCAGACCAGUCCUCCAUGGUCACCAGCAGUUUGUAGUUGCCUUGGUUCGUCAGCCAGUAGAUGUUCUCCAGGCCUAGCCAGUACUCGCCAUCAAUGUUCCCAAACCCUUGCUGGGGAAAACGGAGGAGAGCAUUAGUGAGGGAUAUGUAGUGUCCUCAGCCAGCAGGGCCCCACUCUUGGAUGCUCAGCCCUGGGUAGAGGAGAUCAGAAAUGGGCAGAGCAUAAGGCAGGCCUGGGUUCAAAUCCCCACCUCUGCACUUGGCUGUGACUUGAUGAAUCGCUUUUCCUGUCUGAGCCUCAAUCACGCAUCAUUCAAGACUACUGAAAGUGUGCCUACUGUGUGCUAGGCAUUGUGUGAACAUGGGGGACACUGUGUUACCUUUACUACAGGGUUGUUGUAGGAACACACCUAAUGUGGUAAACCGAGAGCCUAACACACAGUAGGCAGGCGACAGGAGUUCCUUGGACGGAUCCUGACCACCUCUGAGCUUCACCGUCCCUCUCUGGGAAUGGGAUGUGUGUGAGGGUCUCGUGUAAACUCUAAUGCACCAGACCGGUAUGAGCUGUGACAAACACAUGCUACAUCUGCCCGGGCUCCCUUCUGGGUUUAAAAUCGGCGGUUUUAUUAUUGUUUUUACGCUGAAUUUAAGGAGUCAUCAGCCAGGUAGUGGCCACUCAAAGUCUUAAGAAUAGAUGGGCUCGCUAAUGAUACUGAUAGUAUUCAGUGAGCCUUCCAGUGUAUUGGCACUGUUCUCAGGACUUUACGUGGGUUAUGUUGUUAAUCCUUGUGCCAACUCUAAGAGCUAGGUCCACAGAGGCCCAGGGUCAGAGAGAGCCUGAGGGUGACUCGGGAUCUGAAGCAGGCACCCAGUCUUAACGACUGUGUUCUCCCGCCCCUGAGAAAAAGAAUAUGGGCAGGAGGAGGAAGGGGUGAAGGAGUGGAUCUUCAGAAAGCAGAGGAGAAAGAGAAGAAAACAGUGACACGGGCUGGGCAGGAGGUGGGCUGGGAGCAACCAGGACAGGAAGGGGCCACGCGAAGCCACGCGCAGGCGUCAUGGCCAGGGUCGCUCGUAAGCUUUGGCGUCAGAGGCCUGGACUCGCUGCUGUGUGCGGCCCCGAGCAGGUUGUUUCACCUUUUCAUCUGUAAACCGGGGCCACACCGGGAUCUUCCUCCCGGGGCUCGUGUGAGACUAAAGCAGGUAACAGAUGGAAGCACUUGGCAUGGUGCCUGGCACGUGGCGGUGGCAUUUGGUGAACUGAGCUCCUUUUGCCACCUUCGGCACCACCCCUGUCAUCUGCCAGACGUAAGGCUGAGCCCAGUGGCCUUUCCUACCACUGGGUGGGCAUUCAGCUUCCUGGGAAUUCGGGCCUAGUGUUCCCGUGUUUCCCAGUAGCAGGCCCUGGGGACCUGCCCCUUCUGGGCUGCGAGACCAGGUCUUCCCGCAAGGAAGCCCCAGCUGGGAAAAGGAUGCUCCCUAUACCCAGACGGGGAUGAGGGGCCACCCCCUAGCAGCAUCUCUAAAGCCCCACCAUGUCCACGGGCCUUUUGUGGUCUGUCCCUAACUGGUAUCUUGUAGCAGUUGCCAGCGGCAGGCAGGGGAGGGGCUGCCGGUCCUCACCAUCCCUGGUGGGUUUGCAAAAAUGACCUCGUCAGUGUCUUCCUCACCUCACAUGUGUACUGCACGGGGCCACCAAGGCCUCGACAGGUCAGCAUGCACCUUCCCUCCAAGUGGCCCUCUCACCGGCUGGUCGGGCCUCUUGGGGUGGCCCGGUUGCUCUCACCGACAGCACAGACAGGGCCCGGGGCUCUCACCUUGUAUGUCUCCCAGUUCCUGAAGAAGUUGACGGAGCCGUCCAGGCGCCUCUGGAUGACGGUCCAGCCCCCAGGGUCGUGCCUCUGGUCACACCACACCUGCAUGAGGCGGUUGGUGUUCUCUGGCUUCACCAGGUAGAUGGAGCUGGUGUCGUGGCCAUCCUCCAAGGCCUGCAAACAGUCUCUCCACGGGCCUGGGGAUACAGAUGUGUGCACAUCAGACACCUCCCUGUUGCCUGGCCAUGGAGUCACAUUUUCACGUGCCUCUCACCCCAGGCCGCACUCCAAAGCAAGCACAACCUCAGGCAGGCCUCCAGCUGGGAGCCACAGGCCAGCAGUGAGAGGGGACUGAUUUUAGUUUUCUGUAAGUUCAGGAAAUAACGUGAUGUAAAGGCAAGAGCCUGGGGCUAGGGGUCAGGGUGCCUGGAUUCCCAGACCACUUUUAGCUCUGACUCCCUCACGUGGUGAUUUGGGCAAGCAUCCUUACUUCUGCAAACCCUCAGUUUCCCUGGUUUGUAGAAAGGAGAUCAUAUUUACCUCUCUCAAGGUUGUGAGGAUUGCUGAGAUCCUUUGUGUGGAGUUCCUGGAGUGCUUUAUCUUUUAGCUGGUGGUAUUGUGAAAAGAGAGAUGUGCCUACCAAAAUGCAGCAGUGUGGAGCACUGCUCGGGCUCGGUCGGCCUCACCCCAGGCAGAGAGACAGGUGACUGCCCUCCUGAGUCCCGUGGGCUGAGGUUGGCCCACGUCACCUCAGUCCCGACUCCACGCUUGCCUUUACUGUGACAGUGCUCAGGGACAGUUGCAGUCUUUAGUGAGGAACUUCCGUGGGGUCACAGUGCCCAAGCAGUGUCCGGAAUUUGGCCACGUGGCCAGAAGUGUCAGGAUAUUUCUGAGAUUCAGACACUAACCUCCAAACAGCUUUUUGGGGGGGACCAGUCCCAUUCAGCCCAAUAUGCGUAUUUUCCAAAGGAAGCUCAUUUAGGGCCAGAUGCUCAGAGCAUUCUGAGGUCACUGUGCUAUAAGCAGGUCCACGGACUUAAAGGAUGGUGUCCAGGAUACCUUCUGGUCCAUGGCUUUCUUCUGGAACUGAGACCAGAUGAGUUUUGUGUUUUUCUGGGACUUCACUGAGCUUGGGCAGCCCAGUCAGAAGGAACAGGUGCCAUGAGGGGUCUGAGGAGCCACCGUAGGCUUUUCACCACCCCACCCCCACCUCCCCUAGUGGUCUCCUGGAUGUCGGUCACACCAGCAAGAAGGUUGAAACUGGGUCACCAAGGUCCAAAGAAGCUGGGUUCUUCCUUGUUGAUCUCAGGAACCUUCAGAAGUUUGUUUCAAGACCUAAUCAUUGAACUACAGACUUUAAAGUGAAUAAAAUUGCCACAGUUUGCUUCAGCUUCUCUUCAAAAUAGUCCUCAAACCAAGAAUUGUUAAGACCAAAAGUGCUAAGGAAAUUUCCUCUCAUUCUCUGAAUGUGUGUGUUUAUUCUAACAACUAUUUGCUGAGCCCCCGCCCUCGCAGGUGCUGUGCCGGGUAGUGGAAGCCUAGGGCAGGGUUCAGGGCGGCUCUGAUACCCAGCAAGGGCAGAGCUGACCUCACCAGCCUCUCUCAACUUGAACUCCUGUGCGUUCCUGUCCUUUCCCUUCUGCGCGUCAGGGAGGGGCAUCGGCGGAAGGUGUACUCGGCUUUUCCUGCAAAGAUCUAACUUCUCAAGAUUCCUUCCUGGUUAGACUUGGGCUUGGUUAGUCCACACGUGAUAGUUAAAUGAGAAAAAUUUGGCGGGUUUGUUGUUGUUGUUGUUUUUCUGGACGGUUCAGGUGGGCUUUUCCUGAGUCCUUGUACUGUGUUCGAGCCUCCCCACCCGGAGCCUGACGGGGAAGGGCAGGGGCGGUCUUGCUCGCCCCUCCCCACCCCCAGUGCCUGAUCUUGCGCCUCAAAGAGGGGGGUCGCUCUUGGUGCUUCCCGCUGACGGGGAGAGCUUCUCACCAUUUACCUGUUCACCAACCUUCUCCGCCCCAACGGACGGGGCGGGACCCCAAGCACCGGCCAGGCAGAUGCCUUGUGCGUCUUCUGUCUUGGAGAAGGGGAGGCCAGACCUCCAGAAAGAGCAUUCAGGAAAAAUAAAAAGGUUUUGCUUGUGUUCAGCUCCCAGCCCCAGGGACCAGGGCAGAGAAUAAGGAGGCUGUCCCCGACCGCAGAGCGCACGGUGGCCGUGGGAGGGCCCCCAGCGCUUUCCCAGGUCAGAAGCACAGGGGAGGCUCUGGGAAUGUCUAGUGGGAAUGCUGGUGACAGAGGUCCAGCAGAGGCCUGGAAAACACCCCCCAAAACAAGCAGCCAGCCCUGUUACUGCAGGGCCUCCCUGGGGCUCCGGUGGGGCUCCCAGAGGGACGGUCUUGGUUUACAGGAGGCACUCCGUCAGGAGAGGCUUCGAAGGCCACUGGGAGAGUGGCAGGUGGGUCCCCAGCUCCCAGCCUGAGCUGCUUUUGUGGGUGCCGCCCAUGCUUUCAGCUUCACCUUUGACAUUUCUACAGAGGGCUCUUUUUAAAAGGCAAGUGUUUUAAAGUGCGAGGUCACUUGUCGUCACCCACUGGACAGAUGAGGAGAUUGGAGCAUGGGGUCAUUAGGUGCCACCCCUGAGGUUGGUGGCUUAUAUGGCAGAUCCAGUGUCUGAGCCCAAGUGGCCUGGGUGGUCCAGAGCCCAAGUCUAAAACUCUUUUCUUUUUCCCCAACCAGAGUGAACUCCAGGGUGGGGGGCCCAGGCUGACAUAUCUGUGUCCCUAGGACUAUUACGAAUCUUUGCCAGUCAGCCAGGUUUAAAAAAUAAACAUUUACACUUCUUCUUUGUCAAGGUAUUAAUACCUUUUCAAAGUUUUUAUUGAAGAUUUGUUUCUCUUCUUUGCUUACCUUUUGGUGUCCUUCGCCUAUUUCAUCUAUUUUAGUAUCUUUUAUGAUGUAGAAUUUCCUUUUUUUUUUUUUUAAGGCAAAUCUGGCAGUUUUUUCCUUUAAGCCUUUCCAGAAUCAUGGAGUAGGAAUAAACUAGUAAAGAGGUGUUUCGUAUUUUCUGCUGUUAAAAAAAAAAAAAAAAUCUGCGUGUCUCCUGCACACUGCACUUGGCCUGAGUCUCAGGACCCGUCAGCUUCCACCAGUAGCCACAUUUCCAGACCAGUUUCCCUCCGAAACCCUCGCAGAGCCCUAGCAAACCGCCUGCACUGAAACACGCUCCCUUUUCUCCCAUGAAAGGCACCAGUGGCAAAGGUCAGAAACCUAAAUGAUGGACGAAAGGGAGUCAGAAAAAAUACUCAGCAUUGGAAGACUGGCAGCAGUAAUAGGAUCAGGGAGCAGAAAAUGGCAGCAGGACUAUCAUGUGGCUCUGUUCAAAUGGCCGAUUCAAAUGAGAAACCUGUAACGGAUACAAAUACAGGAGUCAGGAGCCCUCAGCUCAAAUCUUGGUGACUCCAUUGCCUCGCACUGUGUCCCUGGAAAGUUCCUUGAGCCUCAGUUUCUACUUCUGUAAACAGGGGUAACAAAGCCACCUGUUCUGGGGGCCUCGCAAACACAAGAGCACCCAGCGCGAGGCCGGCCAGGGCAGGUGCCGCUCGGGGUUCUCUCUCCUUCUUUCCUCUGCUGGAUGAAAGCUGAUGGUUUUGAAAUUGUCCACUCCCCACCUCCCCACAGCCACAUACACACAAACAAGUAACUGUAUUUGCUUUUGAAUUUCCAAGACUAAAACGUACAGUGAUUUACUGGUAGAUGUUUUCUACAGAGCACAUUUUAGAAGUCACAGCUUCAGUGGAGAAGCCCCCGAAGAUACACCGAAAUGAAGAAUGGAAACCCUUUUUGUCAAUGAAACUGCGUUUUCAGUGUGCAGUGGGCAGGGCUCUCCCCCUGGAACAGUGCAAAGUGCCCAGGCGGUAUUUCGCUUGGCUCCUCUUCUGAAAGGGCAGCGUUGCCCAGAGCGUCAGGCCAACACUAACUCAGCAGCACCACGGCUCCGAGCGGAGUAGCGCCCGACCUCAUCUCUAUAAAGACCAUAUUUACACUCUCAGCAGAGCUGUAGCCAGAACGUUCCACGUGAAGGGAAGUGCAGUCACCAUGGCCGAGCUGAGCCUGCGUGGUUCCUUAGAGAAGCAACACAGGGUGUGGAAAGCACACAGGGCCUGGAAUCGGGAGGCCUCAGGAAGAAGGGAUAUUGGCGAUGGGAACACAAAGUAUACAGGUCUUGGGCCCCCAAACCUCAGUGUCAAACCCAAUGAGGGUUGGAGGUGAUCAGGUUUGAGUCCCCUCACUGCUUCCUUCUUCCUGUCUGGGGUUCUUACACAUCAGAAGCAUAGCCUCCUAGGAAACCAGGAACCACUUCUUGAUAGCUGACCCCAUGCUCAGUAUGCCCGAUGAAGCGCCUUUCUGGUAAAGCUGGGCUAGAGCCUGCAGCCCGGCCUGACCUAAGUGUAACUGCCUAACCCCAGUUUCCUCUCUGGGUUGGGGGCAGACCAGCUCAGCCUGACCUGCCCACUCAUGUCCCUUUGGAGAAAUGGGUUACCAACUGCAUCAGCUGUCAGUGCAGUCACCCCUCCUGCUAGGGAAACGUGGCCCCGUGAAUAUCUGACCAAGCCCACUGGCAACACGUUGCAGGCCUGGAGCUAAGAAGUGGGUAGACGGUGAUGCCUCUUCUCCCCGGCUGCUCCGGAGGCCUGCAGAGAGGAGCAGAGUCCCUCCUGGCUAUCAGCUGGACCAGACCAUGUGGCUGGCCAGCGGCCUGACUGGCCUCUUUGACCCAUAAGCCCAAGUCUCAGGACUUGACCACCUGAGGCUGUGCAGAGGCCCUGUGGCCUGUGGGAAAUGUUCUAGGAAUGUUUUAGUUCAUAGGAAGGCGCCGGGGAGAGGCUUCUGUGAUAGUACCGAGACACGCUGCUUUUUCGUGAGAACAGUAUGCUGUUUUCAAUUAUUCUCACCGAUGAUCUGUCUCCAAAAAGUCUUUGUGCCACUCCCUGAAACAUUUUUCUAACAGGAGAACUGACUAGUUGUUGAAAUUGGAUCUGGAAUUUCCUAUCCAAAUUAAUCCAUCUGAGAGCCAAGGCACGUGGACUGCUUAGGUGUGAGUCUUGCCCUGGCCAGCGUCAGGACUCGCCAGGCGUCCUGGGUGAAGGGCAGGAGAGCAGACACCCGGAGAGGGGGUCGGUGAGGAAGAAUUACAUGGGCUGCUUGAGCCUUAUUUGUCCAGAAGGCUUGGAUAGAUAAUAUUUUGGUCGUGAACAUAUGUAUUCCAUGUCAGUCACCACUUUUUCACUGAACCGGAGUACGAAACAAUAACCUAAACACAGGAACAGCUGGUGUGUUCGCAAAGGCACCUGAAGUUCCUGUAGGGCCUCAGAGCUGACGUCACGGGUGUCAUUGCUGGUGCUGCCGGGGAAAGGGUCCAAACGCGCGUGCCCGCCGUGGAGGCCGCUGUAGUCCGCAGACGACGGGCACGGUGCCUGGGGCUGACGAGCUUUUCAGGAGUUUAUGAAAGUAUUUGAGGCCUAAAAAAAAUUUAUUGGCUCUAAAAUACGAAAACUGCAAAAUCAAAGUUUAUAAGUAUGUAAUUAAAUUUCUACGAAGUGGGACAUCUUGUCAAGUUCAUUAAUUGUUAAAUUUAGUCUUCAUAAAAAUGUUAUUACUUUUGAAAACAAUUUGUAGGUUAGAUUUUCCUCACUUCCCAAGAAUUCCUGAACAUGCCUGAUGUUUGCCGAGAAAUCAGAGCCAGCCAUAAAUUAAUUGUGUUACUCUUGGCCAAAUAAUUUCAAAGAGCAAAAUUUAAAAAAUCCGUUCAAAAUUUUUACAGUGAAAGUUCUAUUAGAUGUGGGAGGUGGGCGUGUUUCAGCGGAUGUGAUACACGGGGAGACUUCCCAUGUAAGAGCUCCCGGAGCCCUCGAAGAGCAUAAAUGGGUUCUGUUUCUGCCUGUCUGACCUCAGGGUAAACAGACUUGGCAGCAUUCCUUCCCAAAGGACACUUUCAAAAGCAUUGUGCCCACUCCUGGGUUUCCAUCAGUACCCUUGGGCAGGAGGAGAAAGAUGGGCUUUAAAGCAAUUUAAAAGGGAAAAGAGGUUCGCCCUGGAGGGGCUGUGGUGGGUUCACUGUGUGCAGAGCUGAGCCACACACUGUGGCUCCCAAGACUGGUCGGGGUGAAGCCCGGAGUUCCUUGGGUUCAGUGGUUCAGUGGCACCCAAGGCUGCCCCGGGGCAGGGAUGUCACUGGACGCAGAGGCGGGCAGCACUCUGAGCCUCCCUGGAUAUAGCGAUGAGAGUGAGCAAGCGUCUCUCAGUCCAGAGGUCAACGGUGCUGUUCUGCAGGCACAUCGUGGAAGGGCUGAUCAGAUCCGUGACGGCAACCCACAGGUACCGGGCAGGUGGUGUUCAAGCGGUCUGCCAACCUAUUAACCCUUUCCAAGACAGGGAAUCAGCUUAUGGGCUUGUGCUUACAGAACCUGUGUUGGCCUUCACUGAUCACCUUUUAAUUUUCCAAAUGCUCACGAACCCCUCUCUCUGAUCUUUUUUAUAAUUUUACUGGGGUUUAAGCUAAUUGUUCCAGAUUUUCUAGUAUUUCAUCCUUUCUCUUUCUGAAAAGAGGGCAUUUGCCCAGCACCAAGCCUGUUCUUCGUGAUUUCUGGAUGAUUGGGGGCAGUGAUUCUGAGUGCUUAUCUGCUGUGCCCUCAGCCUCCUCAUCUCCUCCUCCAGGAAGUCCUCCCCAGCCCCAGAAGAACUACUUAAUCCUCCUCGGGGUUCCCAUGAUGCCUUAUGAUAUAUCUAUUUGUCUGUCUAUCUAUCUAUCUAUCUAUCUAUCUAUCUAUCUAUCUACUGGAAGAGAAUAAGAAUGAUGACUACCAUGUACCUGGAGCCUUUUGCCGUCCAGGUGCUUUACCCGGGCUUUCAUUUCCUCCUCACAAGCCUUUCCAACAGGGAGGGAACUAAGUCCCAGGGAGACUGCACGUCUGGAAAGAGGAGGCUCUAGGGUUAGAACUCACGUCUGCCUUCUGGGCCUGUUUCUCCCUGCUGCAGCGUGCUGAGUCUGUGUCACCGUGCUAGGAUUGCUUGGGGUCCCGUCAUCUCAUCGGUCUCUGGGAUCCUUUCGGGUGGGAGCCUCAUCAGGGGCGUGAUCGAGUGUCCAUCUUGCCAGCACUUAAGGGUCCCUUAGUGCCCCGUGUGCCUUCCCCCAUCUCUUCUCCUUUCUUCACCACCGUGAGCCACGUUCUCUUUGUCAUCUUCCUUCUGUUCUUCCCACUUUGAGAAUCAGUGAUCAGUCUGGGAACAUCUGGGAACAGGAGCCCCACAGCAGAGGGUCAUCAAGAUCCAAACCAAAACCUGGGAACGUGUGGACGGUCUGUCGUAGGAAGUCUGCCCGUUGUAUCUGGGAUACUGCCAGAUGAUUGGAUUUCUGCUCUUUUGGAGGUUACUCUGGACAGACCCCCUAAGACAUCUUAAUUUCAACAGUUAGAGGGGUUUUUUUUGGUUUGUUUUUUUAAAAAAACAUUAGUCAUUAAACUAAAAUUUUCUUUUUCUUAGCAAAAUUUCUCUGUAUACACUGUAAUUCUAACUUAAAUUACUGUAUUAAAAAUCUGCUAAAGGAAAAUCACUUAUUCAUUUGAAAAAAAAAAAAAAGCAUUACAUAAAAGCAUUCCAGGUCCUGUGGUUCCACUGGCUCACCUUGAGGUACAAAGCCAGGAUCAUCAGGCUUCUUUUUUUAAGGUGCUCCUCCUCAAGAGUCAUCCCAGGGGUAGCUGAAGUUGAGACAUUACUUUUACAGCACACGCUCAACACGCCUAACCACCUUAGUUUUAGACACCAUUGAGUACGAUGCUAACGUAAUUCUGCUUUAUCAAUCUCUUUUUUCCUGGGGGAGCAUCUCAGGGUAAUGAUACAGUCCACUGCACAAAUUCACCCCAGCGAUCCAUCUAUGUGGCUUGGAGCUGGCUGCAGAUACCCAAGCGCCAGGAUUUUCCAGAUGGCUUUUCGUCUGCCAAGUGCCAAACUGUUGGGAUUUCUAGGCCACAGAUGCCAGAUCACCACUUUUAAUAGUAACAAGUUGAUAGUUCAUCCCGUGGGGCUGUAAAGAGACCGAGCCUGUAUGUAGCUGAAUGUCUUCCUUGGAAAACACCCGAGUAAGGCAGUGAGAGCUUGCCAUCACACUCGAGGCUCUCUGUGAUCCGUUCCCCGAGGUAUCCGAGGAGAAAAGAGAAAGCAGAGCCAGAAGGAAGAUGACCCACCUUGAACUCCAGUGGCUUUUGUUUAUGAAGAAGCUAGCAAAGAAUGCUCUUUGAAAUAUCACUGGAUUACGUAGUUUGUAAUGAAUUUGAGAAUCUUACUUUGUUCAGCAAUAACAUUUCAGGAACAAGACAGCAUAGUGCAGUGAAAACAGCACAAGCCCUGGCGGCAAGAGACCUGGGUUGGGUUUUCCGUCAGCUUUGGAAAACUGAAAGGCAGAGCUGGUGGUGGCUACGGUCACCCUCCCGUCCUCUCAAUUCCCAGGUGCCUCUCUGAAUCCCUACAGAGCUUCAGGCUUGGAAGCCCAGUCUCUGGAGCUGGUCUGCACAUGGGACCAACAGCUUUUCACCUGGAAUGACAAUUGCUUGACCUCCAGAAAGAAUGGAAGCUACAGUGUAAUCUAUCUUGUUCUCUAUUUUAAAUCCACAAUCGAUAACAUACGUAUUUCCUACCUCACAGGGGAAGUAAAAUAUAGGAGGGAAAAUCCACCUGGGAAAACACUUGUUCGAGUUGUCUGUGCCUACCCGGCCAUAGAGCAUCUGGUGGGGGGAACGGGUGGUCUCUGUGUUAGCAGUGAAACAAUGUGGUUGCCACCUAAUGUGGCCCCAAGAACAGAUCACCUCUGCUGAUUUUUAUGUAUUUAACGUAUUUAAAGAAAUCAGGACUUCCGAUUUUGCUGUACGUUGAAAUGCUGAGUAGAAAUAAACCCAGAAAAUGUG